UUCAACAGCAUCUUCAAGGUACUACAGUUCUUGUGCACAGCCAAGUUUCAGAAGUGCUGCUGAAGAUCCAGGGGGUGGCAAGCUUCUUUUUACAGAGCCGAUUCAUCCUGGAAGACCAAAGCUGCUGCAAUCUGGGAUCAUUUGACCUUGAAGGUCACUUCUUGUUUACUGUGUGUGCUUUCUUCUUUUCUCAAGUUGCACCCCAGCCCCCAAAUGACAACCAACUCUCCAUCCAGUCAAAACAAAGACAACACAAGUGAUC
rnacentral:lncRNA from 1 species